AAGUCGUAACAAGGUCUCCGUUGGUGAACCAGCGGAGGGAUCAUUGCUGGAACAAACGCCCUCACGGGUGCUACCCAGAAACCCUUUGUGAAUUAUUCUCAUUGUUGCCUCGGCAUUGACUGGCCUCUUCUGGAGGUCCCUUUCUCUUCGGGGAAAGGAGCAGGUCGGCCGGUGGCCCUAUAAACUCUUUGUUUUUACAGUGUAUCUUCUGAGUAAACAACUAUAAAUGAAUCAAAACUUUUAACAACGGAUCUCUUGGUUCUG
rnacentral:misc_RNA from 1 species